UACGUAGGGGGCAAGCGUUGUCCGGAUUUAUUGGGCGUAAAGAGCGUGUAGGCGGCCAGAUAGGUCAGCUGUGAAAACUCGAGGCUCAACCUCGAGACGUCGGUUGAAACCAUCUGGCUAGAGUCCGGAAGAGGAGACUGGAAUUCCUGGUGUAGCGGUGAAAUGCGCAGAUAUCAGGAGGAACACCAAUGGCGAAGGCAGCUCGCUGGGACGUGACUGACGCUGAGACGCGAAAGCGUGGGGAGCAAACAGG
rnacentral:rRNA from 1 species